UACGGGGGGGCAAGCGUUGUCCGGAUUUACUGGGCGUAAAGGGCGUGCAGGCGGUCUGUUAAGUCUAGGGUGAAAGCUCCCGGCUCAACUGGGAGAGGUCCUUGGAUACUGGCGGACUUGAGGGAGGUAGAGGAGAGUGGAAUUCCCGGUGUAGUGGUGAUGAUGCGUAGAUAUCGGAGGAACACCAGUGGCGAAGGCGGCAUCUCUGGGCCUUUCCUGACGCUGAGACGCGAAAGCGUGGGAGCGAACCGG
rnacentral:rRNA from 1 species